AACACACACACACAUAUAUAUAUACACACACACAUACAUACAGGCACACACGCACGGAUGGGAGAGCAAAGAGAAAGCGAGAUCCGAGGAGUCCAGCUGCCCCCCUGACGCCGUUUUGAUUGGAUGGUCUUUUCAUGUAGAGGGGACGUCUCAAGUCGAAGUCACGAUUUCUGCUCAGUUUGGAACCAUCUGUGACUGGAGCCAUGACGCAGCCAGCGCACAUUACUCACUUUUACAGUCACGACUUGGAAAUCCGUGCAGUUUCCAACCAAAAUUACACCGCCACCAUUGAAUUAUUUAAUAGGAUCCAGUUAAGGGAUCCGCAACUGUCGCUGGGCUUGGAGUGCCAGACAAUAACAUGGCCAACUACUGCUAGUGAUACAGCAACAUUGGGAAAAAUCACAGCUAUUACAGAUCACAUCAUAGGCGUCGCCAGGCGCAGGGAGAGAUUUGGCUUUUUAAAAGAGCCGACGAGCCCUCUUUGUUAUUAGGCAGCUGCCAGAAAGCACGAUCAGAGGCGUUGCCAUCAGCACGUCCCCGCACGCCCCAACCCAGGACUUGCCUCUCUCGGCUAUAGAGAGCUGCUACAUUACAACCCUCGCACAGAACUCCAGCCCUGGCCAUUAUUUUUAGCAAGUGCGCAUGGAGGCAUGACCUUUGCUGCAGGACUGAGUCUUGCAGGCAGGAGGACACUGGUACUUGGACUGAAGACAGCUCCUGUCACAUGAGGGCCUCAGAUGGGGACACCCAUGCAGCUGUAAAACAUGCCAUCUUCAAGGAGUUUCAAGGAAGAGCAGCUUGGAUGAACAGACAUGGUAGGCUAAGCAUGUGUUUCAGGAAGCACAGGCAUCCACCGGAGCCUUGCCUGGCUCCCGGAUGCCAGAGGGGAGUUUGCCAGCGUCUAACAUGAAUGGGGUGGUGAUUACAUGCGCCCCAGUCUCCCUCCCGACUUUGUAUGCUUAAAGUUCCUCCUCCUAGUCCUGUGAGGAUGGAGGAGAAUGCAAUGGAAGGGCUCAUUGUCUUGAGCUUGUUUCCGGUGGUAUGAGAAGACACAGGCGCAGCUGUGAAGCUAGGAUUAACCUGGUGAUAAAGUAUGAAUAGUGAACCAUUCCCUUGCUGGAUCGCAAACCCUCCAUAACAGUAGAGGGGCCUCCUUCAGUCUCUACCUCUUCCCCUUCUUCUGACUGAUUUUUUUUAAAACUAACCCAUUGCAUUCCAAGAACUAACUUGUUGCUCUUCCACAGGAUAUGAAACAUCUUCUGAAUAAACCAGGAGGGCGCUCGCCUUUUCCAACAAGAACCAAACCUCUCCCACAAGAACAAUCCCUGUUAGCAGGAGUGAGUAAUUUCCACCUCAGCAGGACAGCUGUUUCUCUACCUUCUCUAGCUGCUGCUAGAACCCAACUCAAGGCUGGGCUAAAAUGAAAUACAAUGCCCAGGGAAUCACUCGUUUUAAAUAAAUCAAACAACAACAACGGAACCAAUCCAAAGGAAAGGCAAGAAUCUUUAGCAGGUGAUGCUGUACCUUGCAAACAACAGUUCCCACUUCUUCUGAUAAAUGUUAAAUGGAGAAUUUAUCUUCCAUCUUCAUAUUUUAUAGUCAUCAGCAAUCUCUUGGUUCCCAGAGAAUUAGGCCUCCCUAACAACUGAGGCAUAAUUAAAUCAAUGGAUUCUGUAUUCUUCUCUCGAACUGGAAGGGAAACUUCACUGUUACCAGAAGGAACAGUGCGUAUAGAUACAUUGCACUCUGCAUAGAACAGGUGCUGAACUAUGGCAUGGUGUUCUUUGAUGAGUACUACCUGUGAUGCAGACCAUUCUGACUCUUGAAACCUUCCAGGGCUCUCUGCGCUCCAAAGACAGUGGCAUCGGUACAACAAACAUCAGUUAUCAACACAUACAGUUUACAGUUCAAAAGACACCUUUGGCCUGCUAAACACAAACUAAUUCAGUUACCCUGAGCAGGGGGCAGACUAGCACGUGCAGCCUGCCUUUGAGACAUUCAUGAGUAGGGGCAUUCUUUUUGAAAGGGAUGGAGAAAUCCCAUCUUUCCUUUUGAUCCUUCAACCUCAAGGCCACAUCAUGAAAUAAGGAUCCUUCUGGUUGGGUGGUAGUCUUCAGCUGAGCCGGUCUUAUCAAGACCAGAAUCAGUUAGAGGAACUACUGCAGAAUGAUGGGGAAAGUGCCCUCAUGUUCUCCUUUCAUCUCACUCCUUGCUAGUUUGAGUGCUACUUUCUCAAUGCCCCCAGCCCUGCCAGGGAUCACAUCCCAGUCAUGAAUAUAAUUUACAGAAUUCUCCUAAACCAUGGUGACACCCACCAGUAUUUUGAUUUCAUUCUCCAGUUGACAAACAGCGGAUUGACUCUUGCUACUUUACAAACAUAAAGGGAGUACAGAGUGACCAGAAGUAAAGAGGGUAGCACCAUGAUGAUAAGGUCUAGGACUUUCUUUGUUUACCUGGGAUCAGAUUAUCCAGAGCACACCAUGCAGUGGUCCCCAUUAAGAACGGAGCUGUUUCUAUGUAAUUAAUCACUGAUACACAUUUCUUUAAAAAUAAAGAACAAUAAAACAAAACACUAGUUAUCUCUGAUGAGACAAUAUAGGAAUCAGAAAAUCCAGAGGAUAGAGCAAUAGAAUUCAAACGGAUUUGGAUAAAUUAGGGGUACACAUGAAGUAGUGGGCUAGGAGCUGUUCAGUGUGGCAAAGUUUAAAGUUAAUGAAAGGCCCUAAUGGAGAAAUGAUGUUAACUGGUGGUUAGAGCAGGGGACUGGGAGUCUUGAUUCCUGGGUUCUAGUCCCAGAUUUGCUGCAGGACCAAGGCUGGUCUGAAAUUUUUCAUCUAAAUUAUAAUGUUUUUCCACGAACAUUUUCAAUGUUCCCCCAGCUCUGUGUGUCACCCUGAGCAAGGCACUUUUCCUCUCCGUUCCUCUGUUUAUCCAACUAUAAAAUGGGUCUGACACUUACCUACCUUACCAGGCUGUUCAGUAGGCAUUUUAAAACAUUGAGACUGUGUAUUAAAGGCAUUAUAUAAAGGACAAAGCAAUAUUAUAAAUAAUCAGAAAGACCAUAAUUUAAGAAGCAUAUAAAUUACAUUCCCUCCAACAAUGAGGUGUGUGUGUUACAUUAAAAUUCAUGUGCCAGAAGGACAAACGCUGCUAGUGAUUAAUAGAUGUGGCUUCCAUUUAUAGACUUUUUAGAGAAUCUGAACAUACAGGCCAUCAAACCAACAAAAUGGGCCACUUGGUGUAUUACUGUCAUCUCAUACGCAUUACAUUAAUAGCUGUAUGUUACAUGCUAUCUAUAACCAACUUGAACCCCAGCAGAUUGAAACACCUGGUAUAGUUGCAGUUUUCUUUACUUGGAUUUUUUAUGUGUAUUUGUUCUGUUUAUAUUAAAAAGUAAUUUACAAGGAGGUAACACUGGAACAGGAUCUUGCUCACUGGAUACAAAGUCAGGCCCUAGAAAAAGUAGCUGGGGGUACUAGGAUUAAAAGAUGAAAACCAUCAGCAUAAUUAGAUCAAGAAAAAAGAAAGCACAAAGGUUUAAAUAUGUCAGCAUGGUAUAUUUAUAUAUAUAUAUAAAAAAUCACAUGACUCCUUGAUGUGAAAUUCACACUGAUGGGGAAAAAAAUUAGAUUAGGUGCAGUACUAUAUUUCAGACACCUGGGAUACCGUUGCUGGUGAAUCCAUUGUUGAAUUGGAUUGGGCUUUCUGUUAAAAUUUGACAUCACUAAAUAAUGACCUGGAACUUUUCACGAACAAGACCCAUUACCUUUAGCAUAGUGUGUACUCAUGCUUGGUAACCAUCUUACAGGAUGGAUGGAUCAAUGAGAAGAAAAACAUGCAACAAUAAUUUGGGGAACUUUGGGAAGCUUCUUGUGGUAGAAAAAAGGAGAAGAGGCGGUUAUGAAGAGAUGCUAAAAAGCUGCAUGAAGCUUUAACUACUUCAAAACCAAGCAUCCCAGGCAGUGCUAGAGGUCAGGGUAGGGAGAUGAGUGACAUUUAAGCAACACAAGGCAGAAUUUCUUUACUGAGAUGGUAGUUAGAACAUGGAGCCAAAUAACUCAAUCAGCAGCAGAAAUCAAAUCAUCUUGAGGAGGAAGAUGGUUGGAUACCCUGUGAAAAGGAGUAAGAUGUAGAGUGCAUUUAGCAAUAAGUUAGACAUGAUGAGGUGAAGGGUGUGUUGAGGUAACUAGGGUUACAAUGACGAGAUUUGUUCAAUCACUCUUCUCCUCUUGGCCUUCGAUGUUCACUGUUCCUGUCUAAUUGUUGUAUCCUAAUUUCCAAUGCAAUUUAUUUUGGCAAUCAAAAAUUACAACACAUUGGAACAGCAGAGUUGCUACUGAACCAGAGAAGUUGGUGUUGCAUUUGAAUCUGGGUUACUUUAGCUGUCAUUUUGCCACUAACCUGCAGAGGGAAUGCCCAGUUCCUAGGUUACACAAGUCAAUGUUUCUGGCAUUGCCGCCCACCCAGAAGUCAUACUUUUGGAAAUGUGGAUUCACUGGUACAGAAAAAUAACAUCAGAAGUAGUGGAUUCCAGCAGUACAAAUGAGAAUUGGAGGAUCAUUGGACCAGCAUAUACAGACCACAAGUGACUUUUUUCUCUGUUGCCAAUAGUUAAUAUCUAUUUGUUAAGGACUAACAGCAUGGUCAGCCCUGUACAUGACAUAAAGAUCAGGCAGUCUCUGCCUCACCAUUUACAAGCAAAACCAAUGGGUCUUAGAUUAUGGUUGGUGAACCACCAGUGUCUACAGAAUAUUUACUGGACUCCAACAGAGGGCUAACUGGUCACAUGGUACUGGCUCUCAUUUUUUCCAAGGUGCUAAAUCACAUUAAAAAGAAGCUAAAAACAAAAUACUUUCCCACCUAUUCCUUUUCCACAUAAACAAAGGCUGUAUUUAAUACAGUGAUAUUAUUUCAUAUGAAUGGAAAGGAGGUAGUGUGUGUGAGACUGGAAAUGGGAGUAGAAGUGUCCACAAGAUUCUCUCUGCAUUAAGAUGUAGCCUGGUCCGCUCUACAAAAAACUUUAAGAGCUCCUAGACUAACAGGCAAGACAGACAAGACAAGAAAUACUGGGAGAGACACAGGAAGGAGCAGCCACACUUAACAGUCUGAAGAGCAUGUUUCUUUAUGAAAUUCUUCAGAAACACCACUGCAUUGUGGUUGUUUUGUGUACCAUGAUCACAGCACCAAUGACUGCCAGUGAAGAGCCAAAGGGAUAACAAUAGAGUCAAUAUUUUUCUUCAAAUUCCCCUGUGCUAAUGUUGACCAGUAGUUAUAACAAAGGACUGGCACUCAAGACUCCUAGGUCCUGGUCAAGUCACCUGUCCUCACUGUGUCUAAAUUUACAUACAGUUAGAGGAAUGUACUUAUAGUUGUCUACCUCAUUGGAUGACCAUAGGUAGAGGGGAAAGGGGCUUUGUCAUGAGGUUGACUGAGUAUUGGUAAAUGCUUGGAGAUUCUUGUGGAUGGGUGAUAUUAGAAGUGCAGACUAUCACCAUUGUGCUAUAAACUUCGGCUGCAGAGCCAGCUGAGGAACCUCAAGAGCUUUAUACAAUUUUUGGUAAGUUCCAGAUAAUUAUAGAUAGUUUUUGUGUUUCCUUUGCAAGAAUUGCAACUAUUAUAGGAAUAUAUGAACAGAAAUUUAAAAACUGAAUUAUAUUUAAUUUCAUAUUGAAUUAUUUCACAAGUAGUUCAACAUUUGUAUUUAGAAACUGUCUGGAAUU